rnacentral:lncRNA from 1 species
UUGGAGCCUCUGAAUAAUGGUAGGAAAAUCAUCUUUGUAUUUGGUGAAGAAUUAUCAAUACAAACCUACUAUUUCCUUUCUUUCCUUCUCUUUCGUUUUCUUCUUCUUCUCUACUUAUUCUGUGCUUUAAUGGUAGUACACUGCCAUUGUUCUUUCUGUUAUUCCGCUGCCUAGUAUACUGAGCACAGGUAAUAAACCAGGUGCAUGACAGUUUGGUAUCAGAGCACUCUGAUCUAGAAACCACCCUUGCUACUUACAGCGAGUCGACCAGCAAUCGCACAAAGGCCUGAUUGUGGGUACGAAGGGUGACUCUUUUUUUGCAAUUGGAAUUUGAAAGCACCAAGAUAGGCUGCUUGGACUGCUAAUUAUUGAUGAAUGAGGUUCUAGCCAUGUCGAUUUUAUUAGGUAAAAGUUAUAACUGAGAUUCUAUUGUAAAGAGAAAUUCUUGCCUAAUGUUUAGAAUUUUUUGCUAUAAUUCAUGGUGGAAUGAUGGUAAGGAUACACUGAAGCAGUAGAAGAAAGGUUGUGAGUAUUUUGAACGGCAACGAAUAGUGGUUCCCUAAGUAAGCAGCCCAUUAUAAAUGAAUUGCUUCUGGAAGAAUUACAAGGGUGAACAUUUAAUUUAAAACUUAUAUUCAACAUGCUCAAUUACUGAAUUUUUAAUUUUUUUUUUAAAGUGACUAUUAUAACCAAAUAUAUUCUUAAUUUUAUAAUUACAAAUUAAAAAUUCUAAACUCUUAAAAAUUUAUAAUCACCCACAAUUUGCCUCAACUCUUAAAUUUCAUAGUCACAAAUCACCCAACUAAAGUUGAUAUAUUCAAUUAUCUUAUAUAAAUAAAAAGGCAAAAUCCAUUACUAAGCUUUUAAACUUUUUAAUUUGUUCUAUUGAACUCUUAAACUUUUAGCAUUGUGACAAAGCAUCUAGGCUAACACUCUCAAACUCUCUUAUUUUUAUCUUAACCACCAACUAUAGCACCUUCUCUUGUAGAUUUCCAAUCAAAAACUCUAGCUUCACUUUCAGUUUUAAUUUCUUGACCUUCCCAUUUCUGUUCUUGUGACAGCCUGGUCUGGAGAAGCGGUCUGACGAGGGCGAGAAGUGGACGCCGGGGCAAAGAUAAGAUGCCUGGACAAGGAGCGGCUCCCGGCAGGCUUCUAGGAUGGCAGACUCUAAGUUACGGAGGUACAUGAAUGAAUCGAAUUAUACAUCGAAAUGGGGUGAGAAUGGCUUAUAACAUAUAUGUAAAGAGUUGAAACUCAUCACAUGAGGUGCCUUUUGGUUGUUUGGUCGUGGAGUUAUAGGAACUUCAAAGUUAAAUGUGCUUGGUUCAGAGAAAUUUCAGGAUGGGAGACCUUCUGAGAAGUUCUCGAACCUGCCACAGGAACAAAACCGUGAGGCUAGUAGGAACCAAAGCAGAUAAUCUCUCAUGUGAUCUGGUUUCAGACUGUUACAAAUGAUAUCAAAGCAGGACCCCUCUAAUAGAUGUGUGGUUCUAGGACGAACUAGGCGGAAGCUGGUAGCCAUGUGACAGCCUAGCCUGGAGAAGCAAUCCGACAAGGGCGGGAAGUGGAUAUCGGGGCAAAGAUAAGAUGCCUCGACAGGGAGCGGCUCCUGGCAGACUUAUAAGAUGGCAGCACUAUAAGGUAUGAGAGUACAUGAAUGAAUCGAAUUACACAUCAAAAUGGGGCAGGAAUAAUUGAUAACAUAUAUGUAAAGAGUUGAAACUAAUCACAUAAGGCACUUUCCGUUGUACUACUACAAUAACAUCAUUUUACUCUUUUUUGUUAAGCUCAUUGUGAAGUCUAUGU